rnacentral:rRNA from 1 species
CAGUAGCCGCGGUAAUACGAAGGGGGCUAGCGUUGUUCGGAUUAACUGGGCGUAAAGGGCGCGUAGGCGGGUUUUUAAGUCAGAGGUGAAAUCCCAAGGCUCAACCUUGGAACUGCCUUUGAUACUGGAAGUCUUGAGUCCGGGAGAGGUGAGUGGAACUGCGAGUGUAGAGGUGAAAUUCGUAGAUAUUCGCAAGAACACCAGUGGCGAAGGCGGCUCACUGGCCCGGUACUGACGCUGAGGCGCGAAAGCGUGGGGAGCAAACAGGAUUAGAUACCCCUGUAGUCCCUGUCUCUUAUAC